CUAUUAAUGUGGUCUGAUGCCCUAGCAAAAUAAAAAGAAGGUAGGGGUUGAAGCCAUAAUCGUAGCAAAAUAUUUUACAUUGCUAGGAGAAAAGACAAAAGAAGAAAAAUGUCUUUAUGAGAUAGCUGGCCCCGGGAUAGCUAGCUGGCUGCAGCUGCUUCAUUGUUGUUUUCCUCUUUUUCCUUUUUUCUUAUUCGAAUAUGAGUUGUACUACUUCUUCACUCAAAGCAUCGGACCUUCUUUACUACCAUAAUAUCUUCAAAACUCAGUAACAGACCAUUCUCCGGCAAAAUAAGGCAUUUUAAGGGUAUUGCCACAUAUAUCAAUGGUUGGAAUGGUUUAUUUAUCCGUGCAGCAGUCAUGUCUUACUAUUUAUAUUUUGUUCAUUCAGAUGAAGAAUCAGAUUUUGGUCGAGGGUGUGAUCCAGACAUUUAUUGGAGGACUUAUUUGCACGGAUUCCAAGUUGAUUCACAAGAUUUCCAAAAGGUUCAUGUAUGGCACUUAAAUUUUGUUAAACUAGGGGCAAAGAUAUUCCACAUGUAUGAUGGAUCUGCCUUUAUUUAUGUUUCCUUUGCCGGGCGCACUUAUCCACUUGAGCCUGCUUCCUUUGCUAGAUGUAUUCUAAAAUAGUUUUCUAUUAUAUCUUUGGUUUUACAAAUUAAAUUGUAUACAUUUAGGGGUCGUUUGGUAGGGUGUAUGAGAAUAGUGCAGAAUACAGUGUAUUAGUAAUGCAGAAUUAGUAAUGCAUGAAUUAGUAAUGCAGUGAUUAGCAAUGCAUGAGUUAGUAAUGCAGGGAUUAGUAAUGCAUGAAUUAGUAAUGCAGUGAUUAGCAAUGCAUGAGUUAGUAAUGCAGGGAUUAGUAAUGCAUGAGUUAAUAAUGCAGGGAUUAGUAAUGCAAGCAUUAGUUAUGCAUAUAUUAUUUCUUAUAAACUGUUUGGUGUGAUGUAUUAAA